GAGUUUGAACCUGGCUCAGGAUGAACGCUGGCGGCGUGCCUAACACAUGCAAGUCGAACGGACUUACACAGAAGCAGGAGAUGCUUGCAUUGACUAACGGAAGUGUAAGUUAGUGGCGGACGGGUGAGUAACGCGUGGGCAACCUGCCCCAUACCGGGGGAUAACACCUGGAAACAGGUGCUAAAACCGCAUAAGCGCACAGCUUCGCAUGAAGGUGUGUGAAAAACUCCGGUGGUAUGGGAUGGGCCCGCGUCUGAUUAGCUGGUUGGCGGGGUAACGGCCCACCAAGGCGACGAUCAGUAGCCGGCCUGAGAGGGUGGACGGCCACAUUGGGACUGAGACACGGCCCAAACUCCUACGGGAGGCAGCAGUGGGGAAUAUUGGACAAUGGGGGAAACCCUGAUCCAGCGACGCCGCGUGAGUGAAGAAGUAUUUCGGUACGUAAAGCUCUAUCAGCAGGAAAGAAAAUGACGGUACCCGACUAAGAAGCCCCGGCUAACUACGUGCCAGCAGCCGCGGUAAUACGUAGGGGGCAAGCGUUAUCCGGAUUUACUGGGUGUAAAGGGAGCGUAGACGGCAGCGCAAGUCUGGAGUGAAAUGCCGGGGCCCAACCCCGGAACUGCUCUGGAAACUGUGAAGCUGGAGUGCAGGAGAGGUAAGCGGAAUUCCUGGUGUAGCGGUGAAAUGCGUAGAUAUCAGGAGGAACACCGGCGGCGAAGGCGGCUUACUGGAC
rnacentral:rRNA from 1 species